CUUGGUUAGUGGCGCACGGGUGCGUAACGCGUAUGCAACCUACCUUCCACAGGGGGAUAGCCCCGGGAAACCGGGAUUAAUACCGCAUAAGAUAACUGAGGCGGCAUCGCCUUGUUAUUAAAGUUUCGGCGGUGGAAGAUGGGCAUGCGUGCCAUUAGCUAGUUGGCGGGGUAAGGGCCCACCAAGGCGACGAUGGCUAGGGGUUCUGAGAGGAUGGUCCCCCACACUGGUACUGAGACACGGACCAGACUCCUACGGGAGGCAGCAGUAGGGAAUAUUGGGCAAUGGCCGCGAGGCUGACCCAGCCAUGCCGCGUGCAGGAAGAAGGCCUUCUGGGUUGUAAACUGCUUUUAUCUGGGAAGAAAACGCCCCUGCGGGGGUAACUGACGGUACCAGAUGAAUAAGCACCGGCUAACUCCGUGCCAGCAGCCGCGGUAAUACGGAGGGUGCAAGCGUUGUCCGGAUUUAUUGGGUUUAAAGGGUGCGUAGGCGGCCCGUUAAGUCAGCGGUGAAAUCCCGGGGCUCAACCCCGGAACUGCCGUUGAUACUGGCGGGCUUGAGUUCGGUCGAGGCGGGCGGAACUGGCGGUGUAGCGGUGAAAUGCUU
rnacentral:rRNA from 1 species